UACGUAGGGUGCAAGCGUUGUCCGGAAUUAUUGGGCGUAAAGAGCUCGUAGGCGGUCUGUCACGUCGGCUGUGAAAUCCCGAGGCUCAACCUCGGGUCUGCAGUCGAUACGGGCAAACUAGAGUAUUGCAGGGGAGACUGGAAUUCCUGGUGUAGCGGUGAAAUGCGCAGACAUCAGGAGGAACACCGGUGGCGAAGGCGGGUCUCUGGGCCGAUACUGACGCUGGAGGAGCGAAAGGCGUGGGGAGCGAACAGG
rnacentral:rRNA from 1 species